rnacentral:rRNA from 1 species
CCCUUAGAUGUUCUGGGCCGCACGCGCGCUACACUGACGAAUGCAACGAGCUUAUAACCUUGGCCGAAAGGUCUGGGUAAUCUCCAAAUUUCGUCGUGAUGGGGAUAGAUUAUUGCAAUUAUUAAUCUUCAACGAGGAAUGCCUAGUAAGCGCAAGUCAUCAGCUUGCGUUGAUUACGUCCCUGCCCUUUGUACACACCGCCCGUCGCUCCUACCGAUUGAAUGGUCCGGUGAAUCUUUAGGACUGUGGCUGAGGCCUUGCCUUGUGCGGGUCUGGCCGUGGGAAUUUAGUUAAACCUUACCAUUUAGAGGAAGGUGAAGUCGUANCA